rnacentral:rRNA from 1 species
UACAGAGGUCUCAAGCGUUUGUUCGGAUUCAUUGGGCGUAAAGGGUGCGUAGGCGGCGCGGUAAGUCGGGUGUGAAAUCUCGGAGCUUAACUCCGAAACUGCAUUCGAUACUGCCGUGCUUGAGGACUGGAGAGGAGACUGGAAUUUACGGUGUAGCGGUGAAAAUGCGUAGAUAUCGUAAGGAAGACCAGUGGCGAAGGCGGGUCUCUGGACAGUUCCUGACGCUGGAGGCGCGAAGGUCAGGGGAGCAAACGGG